rnacentral:tRNA from 1 species
CGGAGGGAACACGAUCCCGGUGGGUCGGCCGGGCUUCAAACCCGGUGGGUGGCGCCAUGCGUCGCCGGGUGGGUUCGACUCCCAUUUCCCUCCGCCA